GAAAGUCCAGAACCAGAAAAAUCAAGAGCAAACACAGUGAUGUUAGAAGGCAGUAAUAUUAUGGCAGCCUCACUAGCAUCUGCUCGACACCCACUGUUACCAUGGCAGUAAAUUACACAGGGUAGAGGCUUUCCCUCAGGACUAACAAUAGGCAAGUAAUGACUACACUGAAGUACAUCUCCCCGACUGUUUUUAACCUCCAGAUCCUUCCUU
rnacentral:misc_RNA from 1 species